GACACGACCGUACCGCAAACCGACACUGGUGCGCGAGAUGAGUAUUCUAAGGCGCUUGAGAGAACUCAGGAGAAGGAACUCGGCAAAUUGACACCGUAACUUCGGAAGAAGGUGUGCCUUUAGUAGGUGAACCUGUACAAGGGGAGCCCAAUGAGGUUGCAAAAAAUCGGUGGCUGCGACUGUUUAAUAAAAACACAGCACUCUGCAAACACGAAAGUGGACGUAUAGGGUGUGACGCCUGCCCGGUGCUGGAAGAUUAAAUGAUGGGGUGCAAGCUCUUGAUUGAAGUCCCAGUAAACGGCGGCCGUAACCAUAACGGUCCUAAGGUAGCGAAAUUCCUUGUCGGGUAAGUUCCGACCUGCACGAAUGGCGUAACGAUGGCCACACUGUCUCCUCCUGAGACUCAGCGAAGUUGAAAUGUUUGUGAUGAUGCAAUCUCCCCGCGGAAAGACGGAAAGACCCCAUGAACCUUUACUGUAGCUUUGUAUUGGACUUUGAACAGAUCUGUGUAGGAUAGGUGGGAGGCUUUGAAGUGUGGUCGCUAGAUCGCAUGCAGCCAACGUUGAAAUACCACCCUGGUGUGUUUGAGGUUCUAACCUAGGCCCGUAAUCCGGGUCGGGGACAGUGCAUGGUAGGCAGUUUGACUGGGGCGGUCUCCUCCCAAAGCGUAACGGAGGAGUUCGAAGGUACGCUAGGUACGGUCGGACAUCGUGCUAAUAGUGCAAUGGCAUAAGCGUGCUUAACUGCGAGACUGACAAGUCGAGCAGAUGCGAAAGCAGGACAUAGUGAUCCGGUGGUUCUGUAUGGAAGGGCCAUCGCUCAACGGAUAAAAGGUACUCUGGGGAUAACAGGCUGAUACCGCCCAAGAGUUCAUAUCGACGGCGGUGUUUGGCACCUCGAUGUCGGCUCAUCUCAUCCUGGGGCUGUAGCCGGUCCCAAGGGUAUGGCUGUUCGCCAUUUAAAGAGGUACGUGAGCUGGGUUUAAAACGUCGUGAGACAGUUUGGUCCCUAUCUUCCGUGGGCGCUGCAGAUUUGAGGAAGCCUGCUCCUAGUACGAGAGGACCGGAGUGGACACACCUCUGGUGUAUCGGUUGUCACGCCAGUGGCAUUGCCGAGUAGCUAUGUGUGGAAGAGAUAACCGCUGAAAGCAUCUAAGCGGGAAACUCGUUUCAAGAUGAGAUCUGCCGGGGCCUUGAGCCCCCUAAAGAGUCGUUCAAGACCAGGACGUUGAUAGGUCGGGUGUGGAAGCGCAGUAAUGCGUUAAGCUAACCGAUACUAAUUGCUCGUGCGGCUUGAUCA
rnacentral:rRNA from 1 species